AGAACGAACGCUGGCGGCAGGCUUAACACAUGCAAGUCGAACGAUGUAGCAAUACAUAGUGGCGCACGGGUGAGUAACACGUGGGAACAUGCCUUUCAGUUCAGAAUAACACCGGGAAACUGGUGCUAAUACUGGAUAUUCCCUCCGGGGGAAAGAUUUAUCGCUGAAAGAUUGGCCCGCGUUAGAUUAGGUAGUUGGUGGGGUAAUGGCCUACCAAGCCUACGAUCUAUAGCUGGUCUGAGAGGACGACCAGCCACACUGGAACUGAGACACGGUCCAGACUCCUACGGGAGGCGGCAGUGGGAAUAUUGGACAAUGAGCGCAAGCCUGAUCCAGCAAUGCCGCGUGAGUGAUGAAGGCCUUAGGGUUGUAAAGCUCUUUCGCCCGCGACGAUGAUGACGGUAGCGGGAGAAGAAGCCCCGGCUAACUUCGUGCCAGCAGCCGC
rnacentral:rRNA from 1 species